UUAGAGAUGUUAGAAGUUAAAUAAGUUUGUUUUAGGUACAAAAAAUGGGGGUGUCCCCUCUUUAAA
rnacentral:tRNA from 1 species